rnacentral:rRNA from 1 species
GGUGAACGCUGGCGGCGUGCUUAAGACAUGCAAGUCGAACGGCAGUCUUCGGACUGUAGUGGCGCACGGGUGAGUAACGCGUAACUGACCUACCCCAAAGUCGCGGAUAACGAUUCGAAAGAAUCGCUAAUACGUGAUGUGCUGUCAGAUUGUGUUCUGCCAGUAAAGAUUGAUUGCUUUGGGAUGGGGUUGCGUUCCAUCAGCUAGUUGGUGGGGUAAAGGCCCACCAAGGCGACGACGGAUAGCUGGCCUGAGAGGGUGGCCGGCCACAGGGGCACUGAGACACGGGUCCCACUCCUACGGGAGGCAGCAGUUAGGAAUCUUCCACAAUGGGCGAAAGCCUGAUGGAGCGACGCCGCGUGAGGGAUGAAGGUCUUCGGAUCGUAAACCUCUGAAUCAGGGACGAAAGACACUUCGGUGGGAUGACGGUACCUGAGUAAUAGCACCGGCUAACCCCGUGCCAGCAGCCGCGGUAAUAC